UGCAAUCAUGCGAAGAAGGACGUUUCCUUCCCCUUCUGCCAUUAUCCAAAAUCUCCUGGACCAGAAUUUCAUCUUGGGGGAAGCACACAAGAUCACGUUGGAGUCGGCCCUGCAGGGCUGGCCCUUGGCUCCUGUCCCCUAAGGCCAUCUGUACACACAGUGAAUGGGAAACAGGAACUCCGGGAACCCAGGGGAUGUGGGACUUGACUUUCGAACGAACCUUCUCUGGGUGGGCAGGCCGCUGCCUCCCUCAAUAAUUUCAGAAAAACUGAGACCAUUUGGACGUUUUGGACACUGAACAUUGCCCCCCAAAGGUACAAGGCUGGACACUUGGCCCACACGUGGUCCUAAGUCUCCUUCCUGCCCUGGGUCCCUCUGUCCCAUCUCUGAGGCUCUCCCAAAGCUGCCCUCUGUGUGUGAGUAAGCGUCGCUCCUGAUCUCUGUGUCAACACAGCCUCAUUUUCUUCUUUUACGUCCCUAUGGGUCCUCCUAGGGAGCUUUUACCAUGAGAGCCCUGAGCUUUGUGUCUGAGAGACCCAGAAAAAACACACAGGCUCUGCUCCCACCAGAAUGUGAUCUUGGACAAGCAUCCUCACGGCUCUGAGCUUGGGUUUCCUGUCUGUAAAACGGGGG
rnacentral:lncRNA from 10 species